CCUACGGGAGGCAGCAGUGGGGAAUAUUGCACAAUGGGCGAAAGCCUGAUGCAGCAACGCCGCGUGAGCGAUGAAGGCCUUCGGGUCGUAAAGCUCUGUCCUCAAGGAAGAUAAUGACAGUACUUGUGGAGGAAGCCCCGGCUAACUACGUGCCAGCAGCCGCGGUACUACGUAGGGGGCUCGCGUGAUCCGGAAUUACUGGGCGUAAAGGUUGCGUAGGUGGUUUCUUAAGUCAGAGGUGAAAGGCUACGGCUCAACCGUAGUAAGCAUUUGAAACUGGGAAACUUGAGUGGAGGAGAGGGGAGUGGAAUUCCUGGUGUAGCGGUGAAAUGCGUAGAUAUUAGGAGGAACACCAGUUGCGAAGGCGGCUCUCUGGACUGUAACUGACGCUGAGGCACGAAAGCGUGGGGAGCAAACAGGAUUAGAUACCCCUGUAGUC
rnacentral:rRNA from 1 species